GAGUGAUACGUUUUCGAUCGUAAACUCUGUUGCUACGGCACGAUCAUGUUAUGUUAGUCACUGACCUGACCCUUGACCGUACCUAACCAGAAAGCGACGACUACCUACGUGCAGCUGCCGCGGUAAUACGUAGGUGGCAAGCGUUGUCCGGAUUUAUUGGGCGUACACCGCUCGCUGGUCGGUCUUUUAAGUCUGAUGUGAAAGCCCACGGCUUAACCGUGGAGGGUCAUUGGAAACUGGAGGACGUGAGUGCAGAAGAGGAGAGUGGAAUUCCAUGUGUAGCGGUGAGAUGCGUAGAGAUAUGGAGGAACACCAGUGGCGAAGGCGACUCUCUGGUCUGUAACUGACGCUGAGGAGCGAAAGCGUGGGUAGCGAACAGGAUUAGAUACCCUGGUAGUCCACGCCGUAAACGAUGAGUGCUAGGUGUUAGGGGGUUUCCGCCCCUUAGUGCUGAAGUUAACGCAUUAAGCACUCCGCCUGGGGAGUACGGCCGCAAGGCUGAAACUCAAAAGAAUUGACGGGGACCCGCACAAGCGGUGGAGCAUGUGGUUUAAUUCGAAGCAACGCGAAGAACCUUACCAGGUCUUGACAUCCUUUCGACCUCCCUAGAGAUAGGGAUUUCCCUUCGGGGACGAAAGUGACAGGUGGUGCAUGGUUGUCGUCAGCUCGUGUCGUGAGAUGUUGGGUUAAGUCCCGCAACGAGCGCAACCCUUGAUCUUAGUUGCCAGCAUUAAGUUGGGCACUCUAAGGUGACUGCCGGUGACAAACCGGAGGAAGGUGGGGAUGACGUCAAAUCAUCAUGCCCCUUAUGACCUGGGCUACACACGUGCUACAAUGGAUGGUACAAAGGGCAGCGAAACCGCAAGGUCAAGCAAAUCCCAUAAAACCAUUCUCAGUUCGGAUUGUAGGCUGCAACUCGCCUACAUGAAGCCGGAAUCGCUAGUAAUCGCGGAUCAGCAUGCCGCGGUGAAUACGUUCCCGGGUCUUGUACCACCACCCG
rnacentral:rRNA from 1 species